GACGAACGCUGGCGGCGUGCCUAAUACAUGCAAGUAGAACGCUGAAGAGAGGAGCUUGCUCUUCUUGGAUGAGUUGCGAACGGGUGAGUAACGCGUAGGUAACCUGCCUUGUAGCGGGGGAUAACUAUUGGAAACGAUAGCUAAUACCGCAUAACAAUGGAUGACCCAUGUCAUUUAUUUGAAAGGGGCAAAUGCUCCACUACAAGAUGGACCUGCGUUGUAUUAGCUAGUAGGUGAGGUAACGGCUCACCUAGGCGACGAUACAUAGCCGACCUGAGAGGGUGAUCGGCCACACUGGGACUGAGACACGGCCCAGACUCCUACGGGAGGCAGCAGUAGGGAAUCUUAGGCAAUAGGGGCAACCCUGACCGAGCAACGCCGCGUGAGUGAAGAAGGUUUUCGGAUCGUAAAGCUCUGUUGUAAGUCAAGAACGAGUGUGAGAGUGGAAAGUUCACACUGUGACGGUAGCUUACCAGAAAGGGACGGCUAACUACGUG
rnacentral:rRNA from 1 species